CCUACGGGUGGCAGCAGUGGGGGAUAUUGGACAAUGGGGGGAACCCUGAUCCAGCGACGCCGCGUGAGUGAAGAAGUAUUUCGGUAUGUAAAGCUCUGUCAGCAGGGAAGAAAGAAAUGACGGUACCUGACCAAGAAGCCCCGGCUAACUACGUGCCAGCAGCCGCGGUAAUACGUAGGGGGCAAGCGUUAUCCGGAAUUACUGGGUGUAAAGGGAGCGUAGACGGUUAAGUAAGUCUGGAGUGAAAGGCCGGGGCCCAACCCCGGGACUGCUCUGGAAACUAUUGAACUUGAGUGCAGGAGAGGUAAGCGGAAUUCCUAGUGUAGCGGUGAAAUGCGUAGAUAUUAGGAGGAACUCCGAUCGCGAAGGCAAGUGUCCGGGGUGCAACUGACGCUGAGGCUCGAAAGUGCGGGUAUCAAACAGGAUUAGAUAGCCGGGUAGUC
rnacentral:rRNA from 1 species